rnacentral:rRNA from 1 species
GGGUCAGUAGGUUGGUCGUGCCACCGGUACGUACUGGUCUCACUGAUUCCUCCUUCCUGAAGAACCGUAAUGCCAUUAAUUUGGUGUUGCGGGGAAACAGGACUGGUACUUUGAAAAAAUUAGAGUGUUUAAAGCAGGCUAACGCUUGAAUACAUUAGCACAGAAUAAUGAAAUAGGACGAUCGAUCCUAUUUUGUUGGUUUCUAGGAUUGACGUA